AAGACCAUCUCAGUUCGGAUUGCAGCCUGCAACUCGGCUGCAUGAAGCUGGAAUCGCUAGUAAUCGCAGAUCAGAAUGCUGCGGUGAAUACGUUCCCGGGUCUUGUACACACCGCCCGUCACACCAUGGGAGUUGGAAAUGCCCGAAGUCAGUGACCGAACCGAAAGGAAGGAGCUGCCGAAGGUGGAGCCGAUGACUGGGGUGAAGUCGUAACAAGGUAGC
rnacentral:rRNA from 1 species